rnacentral:rRNA from 1 species
UACGUAGGUGGCAAGCGUUAUCCGGAAUUAUUGGGCGUAAAGCGCUCGCAGGCGGUUUCUUAAGUCUGCUGUGAAAGCCCACGGCUCAACCGUGGAGGGUCAUUGGAAACUGGGAGACUUGAGUGCAGAAGAGGAGAGUGGAAUUCCACGUGUAGCGGUGAAAUGCGUAGAGAUGUGGAGGAACACCAGUGGCGAAGGCGGCUCACUGGCCCGAUACUGACGCUGAGGCACGAAAGCGUGGGGAGCAAACAGG